GCCCGGGUGGUGGAAUCGGUAGACACACAGGACUUAAAAUCCUGAGCUUCCAGCAAUGGGGCGUGACGGUUCGAAUCCGUCCCCGGGCA
rnacentral:tRNA from 1 species